rnacentral:rRNA from 1 species
GACGAACGCUGGCGGCGUGCCUAAUACAUGCAAGUCGAGCGAAGCGGCGGAUGGGUGAGUAACGCGUGGGUAACCUGCACUUAAGUCUGGGAUAACAGUUGGAAACAGAUGCUAAUACCGGAUACUAAAGGCUGGACCGGCGAUGCAUUAGCUAGUUGGGAUGGAAACGGCUGACCAAGGCGAUGAUGCAUAGCCGCGUUGAGAGACUGAUCGGCCACAUUGGGACUGAGCCACGGCCCAAACUCCGACGGGAGUCAGCAGUAGUGAAGCUUGCACAAUGGACGAAAGUCUGAUGGAGCAACGCCGCGUGAAUGAAGAAGGUUUUCGGAUCGUAAAGCUCUGUUGUUGGUGAAGCGGUAAUCAACCAGAAAGUCACGGCUAACUACGUGCCAGCAGCCGCGGUAAUUC